AGUGAACGCUGGCGGUAGGCCUAACACAUGCAAGUCGAACGGCAGCACAGUAAGAGCUUGCUCUUACGGGUGGCGAGUGGCGGACGGGUGAGGAAUGCAUCGGAAUCUACUUUUUCGUGGGGGAUAACGUAGGGACACUUACGCUAAUACCGCAUACGACCUACGGGUGAAAGCAGGGGAUCUUCGGCUCUUGCGCGAUUGAAUGAGCCGAUGUCGGAUUAGCUAGUUGGCGGGGUAAAGGCCCACCAAGGCGACGAUCCGUAGCUGGUCUGAGAGGAUGAUCAGCCACACUGGAACUGAGACACGGUCCAGACUCCUACGGGAGGCAGCAGUGGGGAAUAUUGGACAAUGGGCGCAAGCCUGAUCCAGCCAUACCGCGUGGGUGAAGAAGGCCUUCGGGUUGUAAAGCCCUUUUGUUUGGAAAGAAAAGCAGCAGGUUAAUACCCCGCUGUUCUGACGGUACCCAAAGAAUAAGCACCGGCUAACUUCGUG
rnacentral:rRNA from 1 species